rnacentral:rRNA from 1 species
CUACGGGUCGCAGCAGUGGGGAAUCUUAGACAAUGGGCGCAAGCCUGAUCUAGCCAUGCCGCGUGAGUGAUGAAGGCCUUAGGGUCGUAAAGCUCUUUCGCUGGGGAAGAUAAUGACGGUACCCAGUAAAGAAACCCCGGCUAACUCCGUGCCAGCAGCCGCGGUAAUACGGAGGGGGUUAGCGUUGUUCGGAAUUACUGGGCGUAAAGCGCGCGUAGGCGGACUGUUAAGUCGGGGGUGAAAUCCCGGGGCUCAACCCCGGAACGGCCUUCGAUACUGGCAGUCUGGAGUUCGAGAGAGGUGAGUGGAAUUCCGAGUGUAGAGGUGAAAUUCGUAGAUAUUCGGAGGAACACCAGUGGCGAAGGCGGCUCACUGGCUCGAUACUGACGCUGAGGUGCGAAAGUGUGGGGAGCAAACAGGAUUAGAUACCCCGGUAGUC